rnacentral:rRNA from 1 species
CGGCGAGGGGAGUGAAAAAGAACCUGAAACCGUGUACGUACAAGCAGUGGGAGCACAGAGCAAUCUGUGUGACUGCGUACCUUUUGUAUAAUGGGUCAGCGACUUAUAUUCUGUAGCAAGGUUAACCGAAUAGGGGAGCCGAAGGGAAACCGAGUCUUAACUGGGCGUUAAGUUGCAGGGUAUAGACCCGAAACCCGGUGAUCUAGCCAUGGGCAGGUUGAAGGUUGGGUAACACUAACUGGAGGACCGAACCGACUAAUGUUGAAAAAUUAGCGGAUGACUUGUGGCUGGGGGUGAAAGGCCAAUCAAACCGGGAGAUAGCUGGUUCUCCCCGAAAGCUAUUUAGGUAGCGCCUCGUGAAUUCAUCUCCGGGGGUAGAGCACUGUUUCGGCAAGGGGGUCAUCCCGACUUACCAACCCGAUGCAAACUGCGAAUACCGGAGAAUGUUAUCACGGGAGACACACGGCGGGUGCUAACGUCCGUCGUGAAGAGGGAAACAACCCAGACCGCCAGCUAAGGUCCCAAAGUCAUGGUUAAGUGGGAAACGAUGUGGGAAGGCCCAGACAGCCAGGAUGUUGGCUUAGAAGCAGCCAUCAUUUAAAGAAAGCGUAAUAGCUCACUGGUCGAGUCGGCCUGCGCGGAAGAUGUAACGGGGCUAAACCAUGCACCGAAGCUGCGGCAGCGACACUGUGUGUUGUUGGGUAGGGGAGCGUUCUGUAAGCCUGUGAAGGUGUGCUGUGAGG